AUUGUCGAUUUAUAAGAGGGGUUUUUGCAUGAUCCAACAGCCCAAAAGUGAUCCAUCAAGUGAUCGGAUGGCUGAGGAUGUUUUCGACUUUGAAUAGGAGACCUUCUGCAUGAUCCGAUGGCCCAAAACCAAUCCCAGGCACUAUCGGAUGGCUGUGGUUUGAUCCGACUUUGAUUUGGAUUAAAAUGAGGAUUUUUUGGGC
rnacentral:lncRNA from 1 species